GCUCAGGAUGAACGCUGGCGGCGUGCUUAACACAUGCAAGUCGAACGGGAAAUACUUUAUUGAAACUUCGGCGGAUUUAAUUUAUUUCUAGUGGCGGACGGGUGAGUAACGCGUGGGUAACCUGCCUUAUACUGGGGGAUAACAGCCAGAAAUGGCUGCUAAUACCGCAUAAGCGCACAGAACCGCAUGGUUCGGUGUGAAAAACUCCGGUGGUAUAAGAUGGACCCGCGUUGGAUUAGCUAGUUGGCAGGGCAGCGGCCUACCAAGGCGACGAUCCAUAGCCGGCCUGAGAGGGUGAACGGCCACAUUGGGACUGAGACACGGCCCAGACUCCUACGGGAGGCAGCAGUA
rnacentral:rRNA from 1 species